rnacentral:rRNA from 1 species
UUGGAGAGUAUGAUACCGGCUCAGGACGAACGCUGGCGGCGUGGAUUAGGCAUGCAAGUCGAACGAGAAUCAUGGCUUCGGCUGUGAGGAUAGUGGCGAAAGGGUGAGUAACGCGUAGGUAAUUUGCCUUUGAGUUAAGAAUAACAUACCGAAAGGGAUGCUAAUACUGAAUACGAUCGGGGAGUCUUUGGCCCCCCCGAUGAAAGGUGCAAACCGCUCAAAGAUAAGCCUGCGUCCUAUUAGCUUGUUGGUGAGGUAACGGCUCACCAAGGCGACGAUGGGUAGCUGGUCUGAGAGGAUGGUCAGCCACAUUGGGACUGAGACACUGCCCAAACUCCUACGGGAGGCUGCAGUCGAGAAUAUUUCGCAAUGGGGGAAACCCUGACGAUGCGACGCCGCGUGGAGGAUGAAUGCCUUCGGGUUGUAAACUCCUUUUCUAAGAGACGAAGAUCUGACUGUAUCUUAGGAAUAAGCCCCAGCUAACUACGUGCCAGCAGCUGCGGUAAGACGUAGGGGGCAAGCGUUGUCCGGAAUUACUGGGCGUAAAGCGUGCGCAGGCGGCCAUGUAAGUCAAGUAUGAAAUCGAUUGGCUCAACCAAUCAACUGUGCUCGAAACUACAUGGCUUGAGUACGAGAGGGGAAAGCGGAAUGUACAGUGUAGCGGUGAAAUGCGUAGAGAUUGUACAGAACACCCACGGCGAAGGCAGCUUUCUGGCUCGAUACUGACGCUCAGGCACGAAAGUUAGGGGAGCGAAAGGGAUUAGAUACCCCUGUAGUCCUAACCGUAAACGAUGGGUACUAAGUAUAGGAGGGAUUACCCUUCUGUGCUGUAGCUAACGCAUUAAGUACCCCGCCUGAGGAUUACGGCCGCAAGGUUAAAACUCAAGGUAAUUGACGGGAGGCCGCACAAGCGGUGGAGCAUGUCGCUUAUAUUCGAAGCAACGCGAAGAACCUUACCAGGGCUUGACAUCCUUUGACCGCCAUAGAAAUAUGGUUUUCCCUUCGGGGACAAAGUGACAGGUGCUGCAUGGCUGUCGUCAGCUCGUGUCGUGAGAUGUUGGGUUAAGUCCCGCAACGAGCGCAACCCUUGUUGUUAGUUGCCAGCACGUAAUGGUGGGGACUCUAACGAGACUGCUGGUUAAAAGCCAGAGGAAGGUGGGGAUGACGUCAAGUCCGCAUGGCCCUUAUGCCCUGGGCUGCACACGUGCUACAAUGGCUGGUACAGAGGGUCGCCAACCCGCGAGGGGGAGCCAAUCCUUUAAAGCCAGCCCCAGUUCGGAUUGGAGUCUGCAACUCGACUCCAUGAAUGUUGGAAUCGCUAGUAAUCGCGGAUCAGCAUGCCGCGGUGAAUACGUUCCCGGCCUUUGUACACACCGCCCGUCACGCCAUGAAAGUUGGUAGCAUUCUAAGCCGGUGGCCUAACCUUUUGGAGGGAGCCGUCCAAAGUGAGAUCAGCGAUUGGGGCGAAGUCGUAACAAGGUAGCCGUAGGGGAACCUGCGGCUGGAUCACCUCCUUUUUAAGGAG